GCCGGCAGGGCUGGUGAGGGUUCCCUUGGCAGGACCGGGGCCCCUCCACUGUGGCGUGUGAAGCCGGCCCUGAGCAGAGCUUCCAGCCAGCCGGUGGGAGGGGCGAGGCCGGUGAGGGCAGGGCCAGGUCUUGACCGAAGUGACGAGAGAUGGAUGAGGACCGUGCUCUGGGCACGUGUGAGCCACCAGGCUGCCCAGGUGAACACAGCACAUGUUCAGGGCCAGAGGUGCUGUGGGGUGUGUGGGCCGGGCGUGGGUGUGGG